CGCGCAGGCGGCCAUUUAAGUUGGAUGUGAAAGCCUACGGCUCAACCGUAGAACUGCAUCCAAAACUAUUUGGCUAGAGUGUGGGAGAGGAAGAUGGAAUUAGUUGUGUAGGGGUAAAAUCCGUAGAGAUAACUAGGAAUACCAAAAGCGAAGGCAAUCUUCUGGAACACUACUGACGCUGAGGCGCGAAAGCGUGGGGAGCAAACAGGAUUAGAUACCCGAGUAGUCC
rnacentral:rRNA from 1 species